GUUCGCUGCCUGACAGGAAUUCAAGAUGAUUGACAGGGCUCCUGUUGAAUAGGGGACAUUCUAGAAAAGUUUGGGAGCUCAGGAACAGAGUACACGACGCUGAGCAUGACAAUGAAUCAGAAACAGCACAGACAUUUCUUCCAGCGAUGCGACUAAUACAUACAAUGCAAAGUAUUUUGCCAUUAUGCGCCUGAACUAUUGUGCAUCAGAUUGGAAGGAAUGAGUCUGCUGCUGGAAAAAAACACUAUGGAUUGACUGAUUCACAUGUGUACUCUGUGAGGGAUGACAGAAGGUUCAAUGAUGUGACAACUUUUGAUGGAAAAAAUGAUGGCAUUCCAAAAACUACUAGACUGCUGUU